GGGACAGUGUGGAGGAGAGGGGCUGAGGGCAGAGCUGUGAUGAGCUGUGGGUCGGACUCUGCUCCCGGGAACAGCGGCAGGACGAGGGGGUGGCCCCACGGUGCGACAGGGGAGGGCCGGGUUUUUAACGUGAGAACAGCAUUUUCUCCCUUGAAUGUAAUAAUCGGUACUGUUCUUUGCGUUCUGCCUAUUUAAAUAAGUGAACCGGGUUUUGUUUACACAGUGCAGCUAAGAAAAUGGGAUUGGUGUAUGAAAUCUCAAGUUCUAUAAAGUCACUUUUGGCUGUACUAUUACUUCGCCGAUGCUUGUGAAGAACACACAGUUUGGAAACUACUUACUUCUGUGAUUAUUUUGGAUCGAGUCAAGGCAAAGUACCGAUACAGACACAUCCAGUUUCCAAACAGAAUCAUUCAGAAGCUUUCAAGGAUCACCUGCAGAUUCCCUCCCACGGCAACAGAAGACCAAAGCCCCACAUCUGGGACACGGCUGUUCAAACUGCACACAUGGUCCCAAAUGGCAAUGGUGACUGAUUUGGAAAUGUCAGCUGCAUUAGAAAAACCCCUUCUGACUUGCAAAGUGCAGAGCUGAGUGGUACCUGCUUGAACAGAAUUAAUAUUACGUAGUCCUCUCCCUCCACAAAUAAUUUCCUGAAUAAGAAAAUGUUCAGUCUGCUCCAACGUGUCACCUCAUUCACAAAUCAUAGAAUGGCCUGGCUUGAAAAGGACCACAAUUACGAUCUUGUUCCAACCCCCUGCUAUGUGCAGGGUCGCCAACCAGC
rnacentral:lncRNA from 1 species